GACGAACGCUGGCGGCGUGCCUAAUACAUGCAAGUUGAGCGCUGAAGGUUGGUACUUGUACCAACUGGAUGAGCAGCGAACGGGUGAGUAACGCGUGGGAAUCUGCCUUUGAGCGGGGGACAACAUUUGGAAACGAAUGCUAAUACCGCAUAAAAACUUUAAACACAAGUUUUAAGUUUGAAAGAUGCAAUUGCAUCACUCAAAGAUGAUCCCGCGUUGUAUUAGCUAGUUGGUGAGGUAAAGGCUCACCAAGGCGAUGAUACAUAGCCGACCUGAGAGGGGGAUCGGCCACAUUGGGACUGAGACACGGCCCAAACUCCUACGGGAGGCAGCAGUAGGGAAUCUUCGGCAAUGGACGAAAGUCUGACCGAGCAACGCCGCGCGAGUGAAGAAGGUUUUCGGAUCGUAAAACUCUGUUGGUAGAGAAGAACGUUGGUGAGAGUGGAAAGCUCAUCAAGUGACGGUAACUACCCAGAAAGGGACGGCUAACUACGUG
rnacentral:rRNA from 1 species